GGAGACCUACAAGUAAUACAUAUAGGUAUAUAGUUGAUAUGAAUGAUAAAUUGUAUUGACAUUUAACUAGGGUUUUAAUUAAAAGAUAUUUAAGUUAAAUAUUUUCCAACUUCGGCUACAGGGAAUCCCUCCUAGUCCGGUUUUUGUGAAAUCUAGAAAAAUGAUAUUUCUGAACCCGAUUAGCUAUGCAUAAUAUAUACACUCAAACUGUAAUUGAUACAUUCGUAGAUAUUUGGAUGCAAUGGUUUAACCGCUCGACCAUGGCAGCCGCCAAUUAGAAAGUAUCCAAGCAUAUUUCAUGCGUGCGAAGAUAAACUCGCGGAAGUAAAUACUAUUGCAAUAAGAAACCCAUAGUUCUAAGAUAUACCUAGGUUAUGUCGCCGCCGUGCAGGAAAAAUUUAGAAUGUUCGUUGAUUUCAGGGCAGCUAAGCAAUUGAAAAAGUACUUGUUGAAGAAGUGGUGGCGCCAUCUGGCUAGGGCGGGUCAGUAAUAGAGAUAGUGUCCAAUAUUAUCCACCUCUUCCUGUUGUUGUUGUUGUUGUUUUAACGGCCCUACUAAGCCUAAGUGGAUUCCACAUCCCACAUGGUAUUUAUCUCCCCAAGGAGUUCAGCCUUUAAUCUGUGUAUGCAGUAGGUUAGAGGUAUGCCCCGAGCAGAGUUGAUAUUUCCGUCCCUCUCCUUGCUAGCUAGUCGGCUAAGCAUUUGCCAGGAAUGUCACAUGCCACAGUCAAGGAGCAUAACUGUUAGAUGUCAAUGGUUAGAUUCCUGAGUAGAGGGGAGAGAACCCCCUUGGGGAGUGCGUCUUGUUACAUGUUUAAUUUUGGAACGAUCCUCAGUUCUGAAAUAAUAAUUCUCUGUCCGAGCAGGAGGCCAACGAAAUCCAUCAGUCCCCGGUGCACCCCCACCCUAUGAAAGGGAAUUAAUAACAGCUUUAGGAUAGGACAAAAUUGAAGGCUCGCUCGAUAUUUAGAGAAACUUCCAGCCUGUAUUUCUUUAUAGUCAGUACUUUUUCAAUUUUCUAUACGAUUUCAUUAAGCGGGGCCUGCGCGGAUUGUUUCUAGGAUUUUCAAAAGAAACGAAGUGAGGCUUAUAGGCCUGAAAUAUUUCGAUUUCACAUGAACGGCCCUUCGUCUUUGUCCACUUGUAUGGUAUGGGAGUUAGGGUUAGACAGGCUGUAAAAAUCUGAUAAAGCAGAGAGCACAUCUGCUUUUAGGUCCGCGGGAAAGAUUCCAUCAAGUCCCGGAGAUUUGUAGGGUUGGAGAGACAUUGUAUGAAAUUACGACUUUAUCAUAAAUUACGAUGUCCGUAACGGUAUUGCCUGGGUAGGACUUGUUCCUUGGAACGCGCGAAUUAUCGGAGGUAUCGUCAAAGCACGCCGGGAAGUGAGUGCUCAUAAGAACUUCCAGCAUUCUGUUACAUGAUGUCUCCUGUCACCGUUAGGCUUCUGGAUGGAAUUCAUACUCGCAACCUGUUGUCUUCACAGUUUUUUUCUAUGUUGUUGCAAAAGUUUUACCAAGAUUCGUCCUUCUGUUCUUCCUCAAUGCAGAAAUCUCAGAAUUUGCGUUACUUAAGCUCAUAAAGAAACUUUAUUUCCUCUUUACUUUACUUCCUGAGAUAGCAAAUAGAUUGGCCAGCCUGAUUUGACCCUUUGCUGUCACUAGAAAAAAAAAAAAUAAUUCAAACAAUAUAAGAGAGAGAAGAGGUGGUACCCUAUAGGACUACGCCGGGGAAAUAUAUUUACUGUGUACUGAAGAGAUUUCAACUUAUACUUCACCAGCCAAAGAAGAAACUGAAACUAGCAGAGAAGCGGUCACCGUAACUUAGUGCUUGAGCAUGCAUCCUAAAACUCGGUAGGGCACAGCAAAUGUGGGAGAACCAUUUUCACAAAGUAUCCCGCGUUAUGAUAAAGGACUCGAAGCGUUACGAUCCCCAUCAGUGGCUGCCGGCUAACUAAUUUAUUUCUUGCCGUGCGGAAGGAGGACGGUAGGAACUUCAAUCACAUCCAGCUUAUGCAUGACGUGGACAGCAUCAGAGG
rnacentral:lncRNA from 1 species